rnacentral:rRNA from 1 species
GACGGGCCAGCAUCAGUUUUGGCCGCCAGAAAAAGGUGGGAGGAAGGUGGCACCUCCGGGUGUGUUAUAGCCUCUCAUCGUAUGUGGCGGCUGGGACUGAGGACCGCAGCAUGCCUUUAUAGCCGGGGUUCGCCCACGUAACAUGCUUAGGAUGCUGGCGUAAUGGCUUUAAGCGACCCGUCUUGAAACACGGACCAAGGAGUCUAACAUGCCUGCGAGUAUUUGGGUGGCAAACCCAUAUGCGGAAUGAAAGUGAACAGUUGGGACUUCUGUCAUGGAAGGCACCGACGCCCGGACCAGACCUAUUGUGACGGAUCCGAGGUACAGCAUGUAUGUUGGGACCCGAAAGAUGGUGAACUAUGCCUGAGUAGGGUGAAGCCAGAGGAAACUCUGGUGGAGGCUCGUAGCGAUUCUGACGUGCAAAUCGAUCGUCUAACUUGGGUAUAGGGGCGAAAGACUAAUCGAACCAUCUAGU